rnacentral:rRNA from 1 species
CGGAUGGCUAAGUUCUAUGUUAAAAGCGGCUGCUCAACAGUCGUUUGCAUAGAAUACUAGCCGUCUAGAAUAUGGUAGGAAGUUUUGGAAUUAAAUAUGGAGCGGUGGAAUGUGUAGAUAUAUUUAAGAACACCAGAGGCGAAGGCGAAAACUUAGGCCAUUAUUGACGCUUAGGCUUGAAAGUGUGGGUAGCAAAUGGGAUUAGAUACCCCAGUAGUCCACACCGUAAACGAUGGGUAUUGGGUGUCGGGGCUUGAGCCUCGGUGCUGUAGCUUACGUGUUAAAUACCCCGCCUGGGUAGUACAUAUGCAAAUAUGAAACUCAAAGGAAUUGACGGGGACCUGAACAAGUGGUGGAACAUGUUGCUUAAUUCGAUAAUACACGAAAAACCUUACCAAGGUUUGACAUCCCUCGCAAACCCAUAGAAAUAUGGCGGAGGUUAUCGAGGUGACAGGUGGUGCAUGGUUGUCGUCAGCUCGUGUCAUGAGAUGUUUGGUUAAGUCCCGCAACGAGCGCAACCCUACUCUUUAGUUACUUUUCUAAAGAGACUGAACAGUAAUGUAUAGGAAGGUUGGGAUCACGUCAAAUCAUCAUGCCCCUUAUGCCUUGGGCCGCAAACGUGUUACAAUGGCGAGUACAAUGUGUCGCAAUCUAGCGAUAGUGAGCUAAUCACUAAAACUCGUCUCA